rnacentral:lncRNA from 1 species
UCAUGUUGAUUUAGGAAACCAGAUUGCACAAGAAAGCGCAUUAAAAUUGGCAAGAAGGAAAUCUUUGAAGAAUUGACGACAGACAAUUCAGCAGAAAGAUCAGAAAGACACAUGGGCUUUUCAUGUUUGUAGAGGACAUCAGGAAUUUCUAAUUGAAGUGCACAUUUUACCGCUGAAGAACUUACAAAGUUGAAAAUAUAAUUCCAAAUUUGAGCUUGAGCGUGAAGAAGCUCGGUGGAAGUACUCUCACUUGAUGACAUUUCUUAGAAACUUACUUAUUUGUAGAACUAAAAUGAGAAUUUAGACAAUUUUGCUGCAAUUUAGUCCUUAACUCCUUUUCUUAGUUUAUAUCCCUCAAUUUCGUGCCGUGGUAGGUUAGAAUUCUUAAGUAGACGUGUCAUCUUAAAAAUUGAAUGGUUCAAAUUUAAUCAUUUUUAAUUAAAUUUUUCUUAUUAGAAAAAUAAUUUAAAUCUAAGUAAUUGCUCACACAGUGAUAACAAAUGUAUUUACUUGCCAAUUUCAGUCAUCAAAAAAGCUUUUUUUAAAAACUGUAUGCUAAAACUAAUAAUUUAUGAAUGUACGAAAAUAAAAAUUUUAAAAAUGAGUAUCUUAAUAAAAUAAAAUAUAUAAAUUUGAUAUAGUUGCUAAGCAUAUUGAAAUAUCAAUUUCGACAAUAUUUUGAUAUGCGUAAAGAAAUAAUCAAUUUAAAGAUUAUUUUAAAAGAUGAAAAUUGAUUAAAUAUUAAAUGAUAUGAUUGUAAUUUAUAGCGAUGGCGAUACUUACCGAAGAUAUUUUACUAUUUUCUGCCAUUUUAACAGAAAUAUAUUAAAACUCAACUCCUAUUUAACUUAGGGAAGAAUGACAAAUAUACCUCCAAACUAACGUAAAUGGUAUGCAGAUUCCCUCCGUCAUACUUUUGGGACAUUGAUGCCCCUGCCCUCCAAACACUAGAGCAUAUAUACCCUUUAUACUAACGGAUAUACACGCGUCAUAAUCUUAUCCAUCGACCCGACAUUUAUUAAAUAUCGGAUCGACUGAUAAAUUGUGUCACGUGUCCCUAUUUAAUCUUCCGUUAGAGUGAAGGGCAUAUAUUCUCUAGUUUUUGGACGGCAGGGGCACCAAUGUCCCAAAAGUAUGACGGAGGGUAUCUGCAUACCAUUUACGAUAGUUCGUAAGUAUAUUUGUCCUUAAUUUUUCCCUUUAACUUAUCACUCGACAUAUUAAAAAUAAAUUUUAAUGCAAACUAAUAUAAAAUAAUUACACAAAACACUAAUUAAAAUAAUAUCUUAUAUAUAAUGAAUUUUUUUUAUUCAUCUUAAGAUGUAGUAUAAAAUUUAAGAAGAAGAAGAAUUAGUUACAGGCUGUCUUAUCAUUAUUUUUAUUAAAUAAAAAUAUAUAUUUUUCUUUGAUGAGAUUCUCUUUCACGAUAAACAAAAUAGUUCAUUUGGUUAUGUUUCUUCAAUGCCAAAAAUGUUUUAUUUUUGGAUCGAGCUCGUCGCACUAGGUUUGACUAGUGCAGGUUACCUCUUCUAUGUGGUUUAUGAGCUAUUGCAUAAGAGCAAGAUUUUUAUCAUGUUCACACUCAAAUGAUAGCAGUUGCGGAUUUCCCUUCUCAUCAAUUUUUUUAAAUUUAUUUUUAAGUUAAUUAAAGUGCAUGAUUGACCAAAAAAAAAGUAGAAGAAAAAAUAUUUUUGAGAAAGACAAAAUUUGUUUACAAGAAAGUUUAAAAAAAGUAGUUUUUUCUCGAGAAUUGUUAUUUGGAGAAUGUUUUUAAAAAAAAUACACUUUAAAUAUUUAUAAAAGAUUGAUCAAACCUCAAAUGUUCACAAAUAUUUUUUAAAUUAAUAUAAUCAAAACAAAUUGUUACUCAUCAAAAAAGAAAUUUAAAAUAAGCUAAUUUUAAAAAAAUUGGUGUAUAAAAUUGGUGAACCCCAGUUCAAGGUUGAAAAUCAAUGAUGGAUUAUCCUAUGAAAUCAGUUGUCUCACUUUUUAAAUAGGAUAAUUAAUCUUACAUUCCUGUCAUUUUAAGAUAAAAGUUAAUCAAAUAUUUAAAAAAAGAUAAUUUUUUUUAAUUUUUUUUUUUGACGUAUUCAAGCAAACAUGGCUAUUAUAUCUUUUCAAUCUAGCGAUACUUUCAACAAAUUAUGAAACACAAUGACACUUUAAAUUUUAAAGUAAAUUUGUGUUGUGUAAAUUUUUCGACUACUCUAAAUUUGAAAAGAGAUAUUUUCGAUUACUCUAAAUUCGUGUUGUAUAAGUUUCUAUUUGAAAAGAAGUUCUUCCAAAUAAUAAAAAAUUAUAUUUCAAAUUUAAAUUUGAAACCUCUAAUUAAAAAAAAAAAACAGUUCCACAUUCUUUGAUGAUCCCCAUUUUUGAAUGUAUAGGGAAACAUGGUGUUGCAGCUUUGCAUCCAUUGAUAGUCCCUAUUUUGAAUAUGCAACGUGCUAUUGUAGCUUCACAUUCGUUGAUGGUCCCUAUUUCUAAAUACAUAUAAAAAAAAGGGUAAAAAAUGUCCUUAAAAUAUGUGAAAGGAAUAAAAAUAUCAUCCCUUUAUAGUUUGGCUCAAAAAUGUCCUUAUCGUCAAUACUUUGUUUCAAAAAUGCCCUUGCAAUCAAUACUUUGGUCUAGAAAUGCCCCCAUAGUUACAAAAUGUGUCAAAAAUGCCCUUUUCCAAAUAAAUAUAUAUAUAUAUAUAUAUAUAUAUUAUUUUUUUCCUUUUAAACACAUCUUCUUCCUAAUUAAAAAUAUUAUUAAAGAACACUAUUCUUGUUUUCUUUCUUCUAAAAUCAGUUUAACAAAUAAAAAAGUAGAAAAUAUUAUUUUUUUCUUCUUAAUCUCAUUUUAUCAAUUAAAAUAGAAUAAUUUCAUGUAUCCUUUCGACAAAUAAUAUAUAUCAUAUAUAUAAGAUCAUAGUAUAUCUAUCAUUUAUUUAUAUGUAUAUAACGAUAAAAAAUAAUGAUAAUAAAAUAAGAAAUAUUUUCAUUUUUUAUUUUUUUCUGGAUUGAAGUAAGAUAAACAUUUGCUAAUUUUAAAAAAAUAUUAUUAGAAAAAGAAUGUGUUAGAAAGAAAAUAAUAAUAUAUUUAUUUGGAAAAUGAGUAUUUUACCCAUUAAAUAAGAAUAAGGGCAUUUUUGGACCAAAAUAUUGACGGCAAGGGCAUUUUUGGACCAAACUACAAACGGAGGGCAUUUUUUUAUCCUUACGCAUAGUUUAAGGGCAUUUUUGAACCAAAGUAUUGACGGUCAGAGCAUUUUUGAGUCAAACUAUAAACGGAGGGUAUUUUUGUCCCUUUCACAUAGUUUAAGGACAUUUUCGACCAUUUUCCUAAAAAAAAUGAUGUUGUAGCUCCACAUCUGUUAAUGAUCUCUAUUUUUUAUAUGCAUAGGAAACACAUGAUAUUGCAGCUCCACGUUUGUUGAUGGUCUCGAUUUUUUAAUAUGCAUAGGGAAACAUGGUUUUGCAGCUCCACGUUCGUUGAUGAUCCUUAUUUUUGAAUAUGCAAUGCGGUAUUGCAACCCCACAUUUGUUGAUGGUCCCUAUUUCUAAAUAUAUGUAAUAAAAAAACACUACUAGAAAAACUCAAAUUACAUGGGGAUUUUCUUGGGAAUUUUGAAACAAAAUCUGCAAGUAUCAAAGUUUGUUGCGAAUUUUCCUUAAAAUCAAAAUCCAUUGGAAAUAAGCUCCUAGGUAAUUAUUACCUGCGGAUUUUAAAAUCUCCAAGUAUGUUAUCUGGGGAUAUUAAUUUCACAUGUAAUUUACCUACGAAUUUUUUCACAAGAAAUUCUGAAAAUUCGCAAGUAAUUUUUGAUAAAAAUUUGUGAGAUGAGAAGGGAUUAAUUAUUUUAUUGUCUUUUGUUUUCUCUAUAUUUAAUUUAUUUUUUCUUGUUCUAUUUAUGUCUAUUUAUUUUCUCUAUAUUUAAUUUAUUUAUCCCUCCAAUUUAAUUAAUUUAAUAGUGCCUCUAUUUGUUUUUCUCAAUUUAAUUAAUUUAAUAGUGCACACAAACUAUUUAGCUCCACAUCUGUUAAUGAUCUCUAUUUUUUAUAUGCAUAGGAAACACAUGAUAUUGCAGCUCCAUGUUUGUUGAUGGUCUCUAUUUUUUAAUAUGCAUAGGGAAACAUGGUGUUGCAGUUGCACGUUCGUUGAUGAUCCUUAUUUUUGAAUAUGCAAUGCGGUAUUGCAACUCCACAUUUGUUGAUGGUCCCUAUUUCUAAAUAUAUGUAUAAAAAAACACUACUAGAAAAACUCAAAUUACAUGGGAUUUUCUUUGAAAUUUUGAAACAAAAUCUGCAAGUAUGAAAGUUUGUUGCGAAUUUUCCUGCCAACCAAAAUCCAUUGGAAAUAAGCUCCUAGGUAAUUAUUACCUGUGGAUUUUUAAAAUCCCCAAGUAUGUUAUCUGGGGAUAUUAAUUUCACAUGUAAUUUACCUACGGAUUUUUUCACAAGAAAUUCUGAAAAAUCGCAAGUAAUUUUUGAUAAAAAUUUGUGAGAUGAGAAGGGAUUAAUUAUUUUAUUUUGUCGUUUGUUUUCUCUAUAUUUAUUUUGUAUUUUCUUGUUCUAUUUAUGUCUAUUUAUUUUCUCUAUAUUUAAUUUGUUUAUCCCCCCAAUUUAAUUAAUUUAAUAGUGCCUCUAUUUGUUUUUCUCCCCAAUUUAAUUAAUUUAAUAGUGCACACAAACUAUUUAGUCAACCCUAACUAAUUGCCGAGCAGUACUUAUUAUUUAGGUUCCUAAUUUAAUUCCUAAAAGACUGAAAAAUUAAUUACUAAUCACGUUAGGAGGAAGCCUUAUAAGGCUGAACUUUUUAUCCUCAUCCACCGAUGUGGUAUAGAAUCAGUGAUUCACAAAAUUAUUUUUUUUUUUCCAAUUUUUCUUCAAUAAAUCAAUGUGUUAAAAUAUUUAUUUAUUCUCUAUUUCUAAUAUGUGUAAAUAAAGUAUUUCAUCCAGUUCAAAUUACAUUUUCUUUUAAUAUACGUAAAUAAAGUAUUUCCUUCGUCUCAUGUGUCAUCUUGAGAUCCAAACAUAUUUUUAUUUUACCAUACUUUCUUGAUAUAUUUUUAAAAAAUAUUUCAAUUAAUUAUUAUUAUUUAUAGUACUUUUAUCUAGUUUUCAAAUAUGUAAAUUUUAUUUCAAAAAAUUUAAAGAUUUUAUGCUUAAAUUUAUGAUCAAAAUUAAAUUGUUUGACUCUCAAUAUUAUGCAACAUAAAUUGGAUAUACAUUUUUCAAAAAUAUUUUUACUAUAAAUUUAUCUAUUGUAGAAGACAAUUAAACUUUAUGCUAAUAACAAAUAUAAAUAAAAUAUUCCCUACUUAAAACGUAUACUUAUUUACUCCGUAAUACACAAUUUAAUGAAAUGCAGAAAGCCAUAUUUCAAAAUUUUAAUUGAGUUUUAUUUAAAUUAGUCAAUGAUUAAAAUUAUUUACUGUUCUUCAAUUAAAAAUGAAACCGAGAUAUUUAUUAUAAUGCCUCCAAUAAAACAUUAAAUUUCAUAAAAUAAUUAAUAGUAUAUGAUAAUUGGUAAAAUUGUUUCACCAGUUUUAACCACAUUAAUUAAGAGAGUGUUUUCAAACAAAAAAAAAACAUUUAUCGCUACAAAAAUGUUCCCAUAAUUUCAAAUUUAAACAAUCUAACUAAUUCGCAAUGACAAUACCUUGAGUAAUUUCCCUAGUAUGUAAUUUUCGGGUAAAGUCUCAUUAAGUAAAUCCAUAUCUAAAUUCGUAGAAACAAACUCCCAAGUAAUUCUCUAACUUAAAAAAAGUUUAAUUUUUUAAAUAUCCCCAACUAAAUCCAUAGGUAAUUUUACUUGGGGAUUUUUCUGCCAAAUAAUAAAGGAAUUUAUUUUUGUUCAUUUACUUGUGAAUUUAUCUACGAAAAUAUUACGUGCAGACUAAUUUACCCAACUAAUUCUCCAAGUAUUAUUUUUGCGCCAAAUUUACCUGCGGAUUUUCCUUGAAAAAAAUUUACGCAGGUAAAAUAUUGCAUAACUUAGGAAUUUUAUAAUUUUGCAUGUAAAUUCGUAGGAAAUUCCUGCGGAUAGAAUUCCUAGGUAAAAUUCCCAAGUAAUUCACAGUUUUCUUGUAGUGAAAAAUGUUGUAGCUCCACAUCUGUUAGUAAUCUCUAUUUUUAAAUAUGCAUAGAAAAAUAUGAUAUUGCAGCUCCACUUUCGUUGAUGAUCCUUAUUUUUGAAUAUGCAAUGUGGCAUUGCAACUCCACAUUUGUUGAUGGUCCCUAUUUCUAAAUAUAUGUAUAAAAAAAAAUGUUAUAGCUCCACAUCUAUUAGUAAUCUCUAUUUUUAAAUAUGCAUAAAAAAAAAUGAUAUUGUAGCUCCACGUUCGUUGAUGAUCCUUAUUUUUGAAUAUGCAAUGUGGUAUUGCAACUCCACAUUUGUUGAUGGUCCCUAUUUCUAAAUAUAUGUAUAAAAAAAUGUUGUAGCUCCACAUCUGUUAGUAAUCUCUAUUGUUAAAUAUGCAUAGAAAAAUAUGAUAUUGCAGCUCCACGUUCGUUGAUGAUCCUUAUUUUUGAAUAUGCAAUGUGGUAUUGCAACUCCACAUUUAUUGAUGGUUCCUAUUUCUAAAUUUAUGUAUAUAAAAAAAAUGUUGUAGCUCCACAUCUGUUAGUAAUCUCUAUUUUUAAAUAUGCAUAAAAAAAAAUGAUAUUGUAGCUCCACGUUUGUUGAUGUUCCUUAUUUUUGAAUAUGCAAUGUGGUAUUGCAACUCCACAUUUAUUGAUGGUUCCUAUUUCUAAAUUUAUGUAUAUAAAAAAAAUGUUGUAGCUCCACAUCUGUUAGUAAUCUCUAUUUUUAAAUAUGAAUAGAAAAAUGUGAUAUUGCAGCUCCACGUUCGUUGAUGAUCCUUAUUUUUGAAUAUGCAAUGUGAUAUUGCAACUCCACAUUUGUUGAUGGUCCCUAUUUCUAAAUAUAUGUAUAAAAAAAAAUGUUGUAGCUCCACAUCUGUUAGUAAUCUCUAUUUUUAAAUAUGCAUAAAAAAAUAUGAUAUUGUAGCUCCAUGUUCGUUGAUGUUCCUUAUUUUUGAAUAUGCAAUGUGAUAUUGCAACUCCACAUUUGUUGAUGGUCCCUAUUUCUAAAUAUAUGUAUAAAAAAAAAUGUUGUAGCUCCACAUCUGUUAGUAAUCUCUAUUUUUAAUUAUGCAUAGAAAAAUAUGAUAUUGCAGCUCCACGUUCGUUGAUGAUACUUAUUUUUGAAUAUGCAAUGUGGUAUUGCAACUCCACAUUUAUUGAUGGUUCCUAUUUCUAAAUUUAUGUAUAUAAAAAAAAUGUUGUAGCUCCACAUCUGUUAGUAAUCUCUAUUUUUAAAUAUGCAUAGAAAAAUAUGAUAUUGCAGUUCCACGUUCGUUGAUGUUCCUUAUUUUUGAAUAUGCAAUGUGGUAUUGCAACUCCACAUUUAUUGAUGGUUCCUAUUUCUAAAUUUAUGUAUAUAAAAAAAAUGUUGUAGCUCCACAUCUGUUAGUAAUCUCUAUUUUUAAAUAUGCAUAGAAAAAUAUGAUAUUGCAGUUCCACGUUCGUUGAUGUUCCUUAUUUUUGAAUAUGUACUUGGGAAACAUGCAUGGUGUUUGACAUGCUGGUGGGCUGCUGUCCGUAUUUAACAUUUAGUUUUAUUUAGGUGUACCCUACUAUAUGCAAUUUUUUCCUCCAUUGAUUUUUGUCAUUUGCAAUUGAAAAAUUACUCUAUUUCUUGUAUUAAAGAAAAAGAGCUUUAUGGGUGUGAUUUAUAACUUAGUUUGUUUAUGAAGUUUUAAGAGAUAUUUUUUCCCCCCAAAAUAAUUUGCUACAAAGACAUGAUCAUCUUUGCGUAAGCUAUUGACUUUCCUUAUUUUCCUUUUCUUCAAUUAAUUUUAUUUAAUUUUAGAUGAAUUAUGUAGUUAUAGUUAUUUGCAUAUAUCUAUGUAGUUAUAGUUAUUUGCAUAUAUCUAUGGUGAGCCUCCUUGUUUCCGGAGGAUUUCAUUUACUUUUCAGUUUAGUCAGGAUGUCGUGGGUCUUGAUCCGACUUCCAUCUUUAUCAGUUAGAGGCUUCAUAGAUAGUCAGUAUAGUUGAGAAGUCUGUAUUAUUCAUUUAUUUUAUUAAAUGUUUUAAAGAUUUAAGUUGCCUAUUUUAUGGCAACUUGAAUAUAUUAUUUUUAUUCUAAGUUGUUCAUUUGAGUUAAAGUUUCAAAAAGUUGAGUUUAUUGAAUUUUAUUUAGUUUUAAGCUUUUGCAUGCUUAAGUUAGUCUUCCGCUUGUAGUAAGCCAGGAUGAGGGUUCGCUUGGGGACCAUCAAUGGUUCUUGAGUGCCGGCCACGUCCAGGAUGUAGACUCAUGUCAUGACAAUACGGUCCUUAGUCAUCCUUGCGAAUAAAUAUUGAAUGAUUCUCAAGAUGUACGCAACACCAAAUCAAUGAAUUAAAUAAGAGACAAUUUGGAUUAGCUGAGUAAAUAGUUGAUCAAAACUGCCCCACAUAUGGUCCUUAUUUUUGAAUUAUGUAUGUAUAAGAAACAUGUGUUUGUUGUCCGUAUUUAAACUUCAAUUUUAUUUAAUAGGUGUACCCUACUAUAAGCAACUUGACGUGUUGGUGGGAUUUAUUGAUUGACGUAAAAUACAUGUCCGAAAUAUAUACAUUAAACUAGUUACUUUUUGAGGGACUUUCGCAAAUAGCUAUUAUAAUAAACUUAAUUAUGCACCAUAGCUAUAGUUUGCAUAUUUAUGGGUUGUAGCUAUAGUUCAAGCUGCCUCAUUUGUAUAAUUCGUGGAUUUGUAUAAUUCGCGAGUACAUUUGUAUAAUUCAGUUAUUUUUGUAUAAACUCAAAAUAACGAAUUUAUACAAUUACAAACAUCAGAAGUGUAAACAGUUAUACAAAUUUCGAAUUAUACAAAAGUUAUACAGAUUAUAUUAUAUAAAUUUCAAAUUAUACAAAACUAAAAAGUUGAGCCGCGUAAUUAUAUCUAAAAGUAGGUUGCAAAUUGUAAUUAAGGCUAACUAUAGCUAUGUUAAGUAAUUAACUAGUAUAUGUUUGCUUAUGCACGUAAUUUUCCCUUACUUUUUUUUUUGUCUCUUUUUACUUGUUUAAUUUUAAUUUUUUACUUGUUAUUUUUGACAAAUUAAGAAAUAACAAUAUUUUUUUUAUCUAUUAUAUCCUCAGUCUAUUUAGAUAGUUAAUGUUUUUUAACAAGGUUGAAUCUCUUUAACGAGUAGAUUGAUUUUGAAAUUCUAUCAAUUAAUAGGAAUAAAAUAAUAAACUUAAUAUGUUAAUUAUUAUUUUAUCAAUAGGUGUGUCAAGUUAAAAAUGGACUAGUAAUUAGAAACAGAGAAAGUAUAUUAAAAGCAUAAAUGUUCUUAGAGAGUAGAGUUGUAAAAUUUUCUUUCAUAAACAUGUAUGUAAUUUUUUUAUAUUCUUAAGUUAUUUAUUUACCUAUCUAAUUAUACAUUAACACGCCACUUCAAGUUUCAUAAGCCGUUCUGUCGGUGAAUGUUACCUUUGCAUUAAGGAUGAUAUAUGAUAUCUAGUAGAACACUUGUGAAGUUGAAUUAUUUUAUGUUAUUGUUACAAAUAAAAGAAAUUAUUUAUAAUCUAAUACUUGUUGUAACUUCAUAAUUAUGUUAACAUUUCUUUUCUCUUUUACUUUAUUCACUACUGUAUUUAAUGUGUUAGUAAUUAACAAUAAUUUUGAAUUCAAUUUUGAAAGUUUAUCUCAAAUGUUAUUUCAAUAAGUUUGUGAUUUAUAACUUCUUCUUUUUAUAAAGUUUUGAGAGAGAUAUCUUUUCACGUCAAAUAAUUGUGCUUGUGUGAUACAGAAAGCUUAACUCACAUGUUUAUACUAUGUAAUAAAUAUCUUGCUAUUGAACCUCUAAUUUCUUACAAUAUCUCUAUAUCUAUCUAAUAACUAAUAUUAUAAUUAUAAUAUAAUUCAUAAAAGACUUUCUGCUUAAAUAAUCCAUAUCAUUAAAGGUUAUGAAAAUUACAUAAAGUAAUUAAUUUUGUGUAAAAAUGAUAUGACUAUGCAAAUUGUUUUGAACUUUUAAACACAAUUGUGUUGUAUCUUGUUCUUUACAAUGGUAUUAUAUUGCGCAACAAAAUGUGAUUUAGAAAACACCAUAUUUAGAAAUAAUUUAGAGCGAAAGCUACGAUUAAAAAUAUUUUUCGUCAAUUUAUUGGAACUUCUUAGAUUAAGUAAGCCUCAUUUAGAAAUUGUUUUAGAGAAAUCAUUAAUUGUCAAUAUAUCCCGACAUCUAUUUAAGAAUUAAGAGAGCUCAUUUUUAUAGUAAUAUAAUGACUUUAUAUUACAAUCAAAACAAAUUAUUCAUCUAAUAAUAUAAUAAAACGAGAACAAAACUUUCUAUGUUCUCUCUUUAAGGAUAAAUUUCAAUAAGAGACCUUAAACCUAGAACAUGAAAUAUUUUGUAUUCGUUGAAGCCGGCCUCAAUGAAGAGCUUCUCCCACUCUUUCUCUGUUCUCUCUUUGGCACCACAAAGAACCAUCAUCAACAUAUCCAUGUUAUGUUGUGCUCGAACAAACUCAUUUCUCUCUUUUGGAUUCUCCAAUACGAUAUCUAUGAUUAUUACUUUCCCUCCUUUUGCCCUGCUUGGAAUUGACUCUUUGCAUUUCUUCAGUAUCCUCACACAAUUUUCAUCAUUCCAGUCGUGUAGAACACUCUGUUCAAUGAUGAAUUAGGUUGAGAAGGAUUGAAAGAGAGAAGAAUAUGUUUUGUAUAUGUAUGUACCUUGAGUAAGAUGGCAUUAGCAUGAGGAAUCUUAUCGAACAUAUCUCCUCCAAUGAAGGCCAAAUUUCCACUUCCUUUUAGGUCGCCUAUAACCUGAGGGAGAUCAAGUACCGCACAAUUUAUGUUAGGGAAAGCUUUGGCUAUGGCUAUAGCCACAGUACCAGUGCCACCACCAACGUCUACCAACGAUGUUAACCCCUCAAACACAUGUUUACACUCUGUAAUAAGUACAUUGGUAAUCAACCUCGAGUCACUAGCCAAUGCAUCAUAAAAAAUAUCACCUAGUACUCUAUGUUUUUCUUCCCCCAUGUAAUCCCAUAAAGAUUUUCCAUGAGCGGUAUGAAAAGGAGUGGGAGAAUCAUUUUGAAACCAAUCACUUAGCUCAUGCCAUGCUUUUGAGCAGGCUUGAAUAUUGGUGAAAAGCAAGAAUGACCUAACAUUGAACGGCUCAUUUUUCACUAGAAGGCGACUAGCUGGAGUAAGAAAGUAGUGAUCUUCAUGUUGAUUUAGGAAACCAGAUUGCACAAGAAAGCGCAUUAAAAUUGGCAAAAAGGAAAUUUUGGAAGAAUUGACAACAGACAGUUUAGCAGAAAGAUCAGAAAGACACAUGGGCUUUUCAUGUUUGUAGAGCACAUCAGGGAUUCCUAGUUGAAAUGCACAUGUUACCGCUGAAGAACUUAUAAAGUUAAAAAUAUAAUUCCAAAUUUGUUCUUGAGCAUGAAGAAGCUCGGUGGAGAUAGUCUCACUCGUUGACAUUUUUUAAGGAACUUAUUUUUCUUAGAUUUUUCAAUAAGUCAUGUAGAACUCAAAUAAGCAUUUUGCCAGAUUUGGUCUAUCUUUGGUGCAAUUUAUAAUCAUUUUCUUAGUGUAGUUUGUGUUCUAGUUUUGAUGCAGUUUUUAUCAGUAAC